rnacentral:lncRNA from 1 species
AUGGGCUGCUCCGGCAGCAAAAUGUGCCUGUAUCCUCCAUGUGCGGCAACAAGGCGAGAGGAAGCACUGAAACAAAACAAAACCCUAUCUCAAGAACUUGUCAACCUCCGGGGAGAGCUAGCUAGA